UAAAGUAUUGAUUGAUUUUGGGUUUUUUUGCGGCUGGCUAGUGGAAUUAUUUAUUUAUGUUUCCAUUUUUUUUUUUUUUUUCUUUCUUUGAAUCAAUUAUGUAAUACCAACUGCUUUCCAUCCUUGAUUAAGCUGCCAGGGGGUAGUUUUCCAUCGUGAUCGGGUGGUGAACAUGGAAAUAAGAAUAACAGCGCCCUUAUAGGUCUGGUGGUUUGAUUUGUGUGUUUGCCACAUUGUGCACGUGUAUCCUGUUGUAAUGAAGGGCUUACUGGAGUUUGCUGUGGUUAUCACUCAAUGCAAUGAAGUGUCCCCUGUAUAGGUAACUCAAGUUUUGUUUUGUAUUCCUAGCCAGACCAAUUGAGAAAUUGCUGCCCCCAUCCGCUGAAGCAGUUUAUGUUUUGAAUAAUUUUACAGUACUGCUUAAUAAAGAAAUUUGUAUUUUUUUAUAA